UUCCUUCCGGUCAACGAGGAUGUACCUCGUUGAUCGGAAGGAAACCCUUCGAUCAGGGAGGUAUAUCUACCUCUUUGAUCGGAAGGGGUUCCUUCCGAUCAACGAGGUACAUCCUCGUUGACCGGAAGGAA
rnacentral:miRNA from 1 species